rnacentral:lncRNA from 1 species
UAAAAUAAAAAUGCAGGAGAGCAUAUAAUAAGUAUAUGUUAUAUCACACAUAUAUAAGUAUACAAGUUAUAGAAUAAAAACUCAGCAUAUGGACGAGUCAUGUUUCUUUAAGCAUGAGGUGUUGAUCAAUCCUUAAAUAAGGUAAGGGACACUAAAAGCGAUAUAAUUGCAGAAAAUGAAUAAGAGAGCUACUUAUUAUCUUACUCCCAUUUUGUUUCACACCCAUUUCUCUGCCCCUUCAUACUCUCAGGUUACCACUACAAAGAUUUACUAAUUCUUGAUAAAGACUUCACCAAAAUCUCUAAGAAUUGAAGUUGGAAACUGAAUUGGGAGAAGAUUUGAAGUCAAAUUACAUCAAGGAAAGGUUGCAUCCAUCUAUCAUCAAGUUAGGAUUUUCUUAAUUAAGUCAUGUUGAAAGGUAAGCAUAUACUUUUCAAAUUUAAAGAAAUUAUUGAGUUAUAAUUAUAGAAAUUGAAUGAAUAAUAGUUGUUAUUAUUAUGUUAUUGUUGUAGCAGUUUGGAUUAUGGAACAUGAAGGGUUCAGAUGAUAUAAGGAUGGAAUUAGAGUAUGGAGAUGGUGUUUUUAUGUUUCAAAUUCAUAAAAACACUAGGUUUUAAAGCAUGCAUGUUAGGUGUUUGAUAAAAUGCUUCAAAGAGGUUAUUUUGUUAAAUUCUGAGAAUUCAUUGUUCAUUAUUAAUGAUUUAUGAGUUAACACAUAUAUGAGAAAUGGGUUAACUCAACUUGAUUGGAUGGUUUGAAAUGAGUUGAAAAUGGAUUUAAAAGAUUUCAUUGCAAAUUAGUUCAAAAUGAAAAUCAUGUUAAACGCAGAUUUUCGAGCUUUUUGUUUUAUACCAUAAGGAUGUUUAUAAAGACCAAACUUUGAGGAAAUUUGUACCUUGUUGUAUGGUGUAGAUAUUGUGACAAGUUUCAAGUCAUUUGGGCUUAUAGAAAGAAAGUUAUGUAGUUGAGAAAGUGGCAUGAAGGCAUAAAUCUAGAAAACAGAGCUGGGAGGUUCUCUACCGAUAUGGCGUUGCCGCGCCAUUCCCAAGCUUGUUGGGGGCGCUGUCGCGCCCUGCUGCAGAGGUCCAAGAAUGGAUAUGGCACUGUUGCGCCGUUCCCACGCUUGCUGGGGGCGCUGCCGCACCACUCUACAAAAGUUUCAAGGAUGGUUUGUUGUGACAGGAGAACUUGAUGCUGAGAACCUUUCAUGGAUUAAAACUUUAACAAUAGGAAGGUUAAAUUAACCUAUCUAUAGAAUGAUUAAAUCAAUUUAAAGGUUGAUUGAAGACUAGCAACCUAAUGUAUAAUUUAUGAACAUGAUGAAAUCUUAAGAAAUUAAGAUUAUGAAAGUAUGAAACUACUAUAUGAGUUUCUAAUUCUGACUUAUAGACAUGUUUACAUGUUGGAUAUACAAAUUUGUGUAUGAGAAGUUAAGAGUUUUGAAAUAAAGUAUUGAAUAUAUUAUGUGUUAAAUGUACAUACGAGUGUAGGAUAAAUAAAAGUUACUAGGUUAAUUCUUAGAGUCUCAAAUGAGAUUGAAAUCUCAAAUAGAAUUGAUGAGCAUGUUAUCACUGACUUGUAAUAUAUAGGUCAUGCGGCAAAUGGAACUAUACAGGUAUUAACAACCGAGAAAUAUAAGUUGAAUUGUGGAUGUUCGAUGAAAGUAUAUUGAUAAACAUAAACCGAGGCAAGUUUUUUCAGUUCUAUGUGAAUUAAAUGAGAUACUGUUGAUUUACAUGAAUUGCUUGCUCAAUUAUGUGCAAGGAUGUUGAUAUUAUGUGAUUUACUUUUAAGCAUGUUUAAAGUGUGCACUUGGUGCAUCUACGUGUUUAUGAUCAGAAAUGAUCAGUUAACAAAUUUUGAAUAGCCGUUAGUAUCUAGUUGAAAUGAAGCAUCACAUGAGAAGUAUGUUGCAUUAUAAAAUGCAUAGCUAACACAAAAAUUAAACGCAGUUGUCGUGCUCAUACUUGCAAAAAUAUAUUUUUGCUGUUGAGAAGAAGCUCAGAAGAUAUGAGGUUCUAAGUGAAGAAAAUAGGGGAUGACAUUGCAAGACAUCGGUUGUUUGUUAUUCGUAUUGACACCAAGAACUUAAUAUGGUUAAGUUGGUAAAGUUUUUCGCAAUACUAAAUGAGUUGUAUGUUAUAAGUUCUGACUGGAUCAGAUACUAUAAAUGUAUACAAGAGAUGUUUAAAGUUAGAUUAUGAAGUGUGAUUAUUCAUAAAUAUUGUAUUAAAUAUGAAUGAAGUUGUAUUAAACUUGAAAAUAUUGAAUAAAAGUAUGGAAGUUUGAGUUUGAUAUACUCAUAUGUAAUCUG